AAAAUAUUAAUGAAGUUGAAGUGCUUGCACUGUAUUCUGUAUUAUUUGGCUUUGGAUUUCCACCUAGUGGCGGACGGGUGAGUAACACGUGGGUGACCUACCUUUAAGACUGGGAUACCUAUUGGAAAUGAUAGCUAAUACCGGAUAACACGUAUAUUCGUUUAUACGUUAAAAGGAGCCUUUAAAGCUUCACUUUUAGAUGGGCCUGCGAAGUAUUAGAUAGUUGGUGGGGUAAUGGCCUACCAAGUCGACGAUGCUUAGCCGAACUGAGAGGUUGAUCGGCCACAUUGGGACUGAGACACGGCCCAAACUCCUACGGGAGACAGCAGUUAGGAAUAUUCGUCAAUGGGGGGAAACCCUGAACGAGCAAUGCCGCGUGAAUGAUGACGGCCCUUAAUGGGUUGUAAAAUUCUGUUGUAUAGGAAAAACGAUCAGAUUAGGAAAUGAAUCUGAUGUGAUGGUACUAUGCCAGAAAGCUCCGGCUAACUACGUGCCAGCCGCCGC
rnacentral:rRNA from 1 species